GUGCUCGCUCACUUUGGCAGCACAUAUACUAAAAUUGGAACAAUGCAGAGAUUAUGAGCCUGGCCCCUGCACAAGGAUACCACGCAAAUUCUUGAAGUGUUCCAUAUGUUU